rnacentral:rRNA from 1 species
GGACUACACGGGUUUCUAAUCCUGUUUGCUCCCCACGCUCUCGCGCCUCAGCGUCAGUAUCUGUCCAGGUAGCCGCCUUCGCCACUGGUGUUCCUUCCGAUCUCUACGCAUUUCACCGCUACACCGGAAAUUCCACUACCCUCUACAGUACUCUAGUUCUAUCAGUAUUCAAUGCAAUUCCUAGGUUAAGCCCAGGGAUUUCACAUCAAACUUAAUUAACCGCCUACGCGCCCUUUACGCCCAGUAACUCCGAUUAACGCUUGCACCCUCUGUAUUACCGCGGCUGCUGGCAC